AGUGAACGCUGGCGGUAGGCCUAACACAUGCAAGUCGAACGGAAGCACAGUAAGAGCUCGCUCUUACGGGUGGCGAGUGGCGGAUGGGUGAGGCAUACAUCGCCAUCUACUUUUUCGUGGGGGAUAACGUGGGGACACUUACGCUACUACCGCAUACGACCUACGGGUGAAAGCAGGGGAUCUUCGGACCUUGCGCGAUUCAAUGAGCCGAUGUCGGAUUAGCUAGUUGGCGGGGUAAAGGCCCACCAAGGCGACGAUCCGUAGCUGGUCUGAGAGGAUGAUCAGCCACACUGGAACUGAGACACGGUCCAGACUCCUACGGGAGGCAGCAGUGGGGAAUAUUGGACAAUGGGCGCAAGCCUGAUCCAGCCAUGCCGCGUGGGUGAAGAAGGCCUUCGGGUUGUAAAGCCCUUUUGUUGGGAAAGAAAAGCAGCAGGUUAAUACCCCGCUGUUCUGACGGUACCCAAAGAAUAAGCACCGGCUAACUUCGUG
rnacentral:rRNA from 1 species